GAGAAGAGCAAAGAGAGAGAGAGAAUAAAGAGAGGGUCUUUCACUCUCUCCCUUUCCUGCUGUUAGAGAGCUGGCUGCCUGUCUCCUCUCGUGGAAUCUGCCGAAGUACCAGGAAAACGCCAUGACGUCACCGGCUACUCCAGGACCCUACAAAGAGAGACGCAUUCCUCUCUCAGUCAGAUCUGAGCCUUCACCUUGUUAACACUGACUGCACUGAACCGACUGACCGAAGCCGGUCAGGAGUCUCCCUCUUACUUUCCUUCUCUCUCUCUCUCCCUCUCUCUGUCUCUCUCUCUCUCUCUGGCCUUUCUCUCUGUCUGUCUCUACCUUUA
rnacentral:lncRNA from 1 species